rnacentral:rRNA from 1 species
UACGUAGGGUGCAAGCGUUGUCCGGAAUUAUUGGGCGUAAAGAGCUCGUAGGCGGUCUGUCGCGUCGGAUGUGAAAACCCAGGGCUCAACCCUGGGCCUGCAUUCGAUACGGGCAGACUAGAGUUCGGUAGGGGAGACUGGAAUUCCUGGUGUAGCGGUGAAAUGCGCAGAUAUCAGGAGGAACACCGGUGGCGAAGGCGGGUCUCUGGGCCGAAACUGACGCUGAGGCACGAAAGCGUGGGGAGCAAACAGG